CAAUAGCGUAUAUUAAAGCUGUUGCGGUUAAAAAGCUCGUAGUUGGAUUUCUGUCAAGUACAACUGGUCCGCCCUCCGGGUGAGCACAUAGUUUGGUCUUGGCAUCUUGCUGGAAAUUGUUGCUGCACUUGGCUGUGUGGCGCAGUGUCCAGCACUUUCACUUUGAGGAAAUUGGAGUGUUUCAAGCAGGCAAUGCCUUUGAACACAGUAGCAUGGAAUAAUUAGAUUGGGCUUUUGCUCCAAUUUGUCGGUUUCUGGAGCUGAGGUGAGAAUUAAUGGGGAUUGUUGGGGGCAUCCGAAUUUAGCCGUCAGAGGUGAAAUUCUUGGAUCUGCUAAAGACGGACGACUGCGAAAGCGUUUGCCCAGGAUGUUUUCAUUGA
rnacentral:rRNA from 1 species